UUAGGGUUUGUUAAUCUAUUUAUGGACAUAAUAAAUGAAGUUGCUGAUUGUUUUCUAGCAUCUGUUUUGUAAAUUGCAGAAUGAGGCAUGGAGAACAUUCAGUUUGUAUUCAAAUUAUCACACAACAUGUUGAAGUCAUUUUCUAUUUUAAUAGGAUUUUAUAUUAUUUGAAUUUUCUGUUGCUAGAUUAAUGCUGUGAUUUGAAUUAUUCUUUUAGUGAACUUCAGUUUUAUGUCUUUAUGAUCAAGGCAAAGAAGUCCAAGAAAAAAAAAAAAGAAUAGUAGCAACGCUGAUUGGUCAAGGGAUCUUGGUAUUUUGCUGGAUUCAGGUGCACAGCUGGGGGACACACCAUUACUGCC